AGAGUUUGAUCCUGGCUCAGGAUGAACGCUGGCGGCGUGCCUCAUGCAUGCAAGUCGAACGGGAACACUUUUAGUAGCAAUACUGAGGGUGUUCUAGUGGCGAUCGGGUGAGUAACACGUAGGUGACCUGCCCCGAAGAGGGGGAUAACGGUCCGAAAGGACUGCUAAUACCCCAUGUGGUUGAUGAUUCAUUUCGUCAAUUAAAGUUUCCGCAAGGAGUAUGCUUCGGGAGGGGCCUGCGGCGGAUUAGAUAGUUGGUGGGGUAAUGGCCUACCAAGUCGAUGAUCCGUAGCUAGUCUGAGAGGACGAUUAGCCACACUGGCACUGACACACGGGCCAGACUCCUACGGGAGGCAGCAGCAGGGAAUAUUGCACAAUGGGCGAAAGCCUGAUGCAGCAACGCCGCGUGAGGGAUGAAGGUCUUCGGAUUGUAAACCUCUUUUACAGGGGACGAGUAAGGACGGUACCCUGUGAAUAAGCAACGGCUAACUACGUGCCAGCCGCCGCGGUAAUUC
rnacentral:rRNA from 1 species